rnacentral:ncRNA from 14 species
CGUAGUAGCUCAGCUGGUUAGAGCGUGGUGCUAAUAACGCCAAGGUCAUAGGUUCGAGCCCUGUCUAC